rnacentral:rRNA from 1 species
AUACGGAGGGUGCAAGCGUUAAUCGGAAUUACUGGGCGUAAAGCGCGCGUAGGCGGUUAGAUAAGUCGGAUGUGAAAUCCCUGGGCUCAACCUGGGAACUGCAUUCGAUACUGUCUAACUAGAGUAUGGUAGAGGGAAGUGGAAUUCCGGGUGUAGCGGUGAAAUGCGUAGAUAUCCGGAGGAACAUCAGUGGCGAAGGCGACUUCCUGGACCAAUACUGACGCUGAGGUGCGAAAGCGUGGGGAGCAAACAGGAUUAGAAACCCCAGUAGUCC